UGGGGAAUUUUGGACAAUGGGCGAAAGCCUGAUCCAGCAAUGCCGCGUGUGUGAAGAAGGCCUUCGGGUUGUAAAGCACUUUUGUCCGGAAAGAAAUCCUUGGCUCUAAUACAGUCGGGGGAUGACGGUACCGGAAGAAUAAGCACCGGCUAACUACGUGCCAGCAGCCGCGGUAAUACGUAGGGUGCAAGCGUUAAUCGGAAUUACUGGGCGUAAAGCGUGCGCAGGCGGUUUGCUAAGACCGAUGUGAAAUCCCCGGGCUCAACCUGGGAACUGCAUUGGUGACUGGCAGGCUAGAGUAUGGCAGAGGGGGGUAGAAUUCCACGUGUAGCAGUGAAAUGCGUAGAGAUGUGGAGGAAUACCGAUGGCGAAGGCAGCCCCCUGGGCCAAUACUGACGCUCAUGCACGAAAGCGUGGGGAGCAAACAGGAUUAGAUACCCUGGUAGUCCACGCCCUAAACGAUGUCAACUAGUUGUUGGGGACUUCAUUUCCUUAGUAACGUAGCUAACGCGUGAAGUUGACCGCCUGGGGGAGUACGGUCGCAAGAUUAAAACUCAAAGGAAUUGACGGGGUCAUAGCUGUUUCCU
rnacentral:rRNA from 1 species